GACGAACGCUGGCGGCGUGCCUAACACAUGCAAGUCGAGCGGAGGUAUUCAAGGAGCAAUCUGCGGAUACUUUAGCGGCGGACGGGUGAGUAACGCGUGAGCAACCUGCCUUUCACAGGGGGAUAAGGCGGCGAAAGCCGCUCUAAUACCGCAUGAGACCCCGGUGGUGAUACCACAGUGGUCAAAGGAGCAAUCCGGUGAGAGAUGGGCUCGCGUCCGAUUAGGUAGUUGGUGGGGUAAAGGCUCACCAAGCCAAUGAUCGGUAGCCGGCCUGAGAGGGUGAACGGCCACAUUGGAACUGAGAGACGGUCCAAACUCCUACGGGAGGCAGCAGUGGGGAAUAUUGGGCAAUGGGGGAAACCCUGACCCAGCAACGCCGCGUGAGGGAAGAAGGUUUUCGGAUUGUAAACCUCUGUUCUUGGGGAAGAGCAGAAGACGGUACCCAAGGAGGAAGCCCCGGCUAACUACGUG
rnacentral:rRNA from 1 species